rnacentral:lncRNA from 1 species
UACUAUGAUUCUCAAUCCAGCUCUGAUUUCCUUAAGAGUUUGCUAAAAAUUCCAAGUCCUGAACUCUCUCAAGUUCAAAUUCCUCUGUACUCUGCUGGUAAUUCCUUACCCUCCUUUCCACCACACUUUGGUUCACUUAAAUCUUUUUGCUCCUCUGGUCAAAACAUUGAGGACUUUGCUCCACAUGUUGAUGAUCCUGCUGCUGCUGGUCCUAGCACCAGACCUAAGAGAACCAAAAUGGAGAAGGAUGUUUCCAAAACUAAGAGNNNNNGACCAUGUUUGUCCUCUUCUCAAUAUUCCUCAUCCUCCAGCUAAUCCUCCUCCACACAUUCCUGAGUUUCCUCAGCCAGAAAAUGAUCCAUCCUCUGAUGCUUCCAGCCCUACUGUGUCUCCUUAAGCUCUGCAGUCCCUCCACUUUUUGUGAUGACAAAAGGGGGAGAAAAGAAGAAAAAUUAUGCUUGUUCAAGAAUGCUAGGAUUUUAAGAUUUCUGCUGCUUAUGUAUUGUGUUUGCUUUUUGUAUUGUGUUUAAAAUUUAAAAACUUUUGAUGACUAGAUACUGUAGGAAGUUUUAACCCUAGGAUAGAACUUCUAACAAUAUGUAAUCUGAGUCGUAGUAUCUGUCUUUUAAUGUUUUGAAUCAUCUUUUGAUCUUAAUCUUGCUGAACACAUGAUUUG